rnacentral:lncRNA from 1 species
UCCUUUCCUCGAUCUCUCGGCCACCUCCUCCUCCUUCUCCGAUCUUUUUUUUUUCCCUCCUCCCACUGUCUUCUCUACGGUUUAAUCAAAGUUCAGCUACUCCACUUGCCUCUCCUCUCAUUUCUUUCGGAAAGGGGAAACCAGACGACCCAGCGGCCACGGGACGAGUCACCCCAACUCAACCCCAGCAGGACGCUGGAGGGGCCUCCCUUGCCCACCUCUCUUCGCUAGCACUGGCCUCCCGCACCUGGGUCUGCAGUCCCUCCGCCAUCUCACAAGUGUGCAGCCGCUAGGCCUGGGGGAUCCGAAUGACUGGGGCUGGAUAGGAAUGCCUUCGUGUUUCCCAAGACCCCCGGGCCUGCUCCACAAAGUUUGAAGGGCUUCUGCUUUGUGUGAUCAGGGAAGGGAUCCCACAUAUGGGAAUGGUUAAUGGAUUUUGGGACUCUCUAGGAGCCCCUGUUUUAAGAAGGAGGCCAAAUGUGCAGGCUCAGGCCAAGCAGCAGAGAUGAAUGAGGUGAUGACCACAGCCUUGAUCCGGCAGGAGCUCAGAGAUGCCCGGGAAGACGGGGGGCCCGAAUGGAAGCAGAAAAACACUUAUGGCCGCUGGGAAGUUGGGAGAGCCAGGCUGGGGCUCCGGCAGGCCCAGGGAAAGUUCCCUUUCUAGGCUCUUUAUUAAAAAAUUUAAAAGGAGGAGUUGAGGCGCCUUGAAUUUUCCUUCGCGAGUUUGGAGACCAGCCGAUUUUUCAUGAAGCAAGCAAGGGCCGCGGUCCCGGAUCCUGCAACAUAUACCUCAUUUUCUCCAGGCCUCUCCACUUGCCCGAGCUCUCAGCCACCAGGAGACAGACGGAAGGGGCUUCUGGGCUGUGUUGGGAGCGGGCAUUGUCCCCUACCCACUCCUGCACAGUUUCCCAAAGUCCAGCGACCUCCGACCCUCCUUGGGGAAAAAAAUACCAGUACCCAGACACCUCUGCACCCUGUUAUAUGACUGGGCUUGCUUCAGGAAUAUCUUACAAAGAAGAAGAAGGAGGAGGAACGGCUUGGAGUCAUGUUUACAUCUAGUUCUACUGAUCCGUUCACAUCUGGAGAGUUUAUUUAUAACUCCCUCUAUAACUCUCUGUUUGGAGGCACUGGUGGCUCUACUGACAGACUGAUGUCUAGGAAAUAUUGCUCUAUGUCUAAUGGUACCUAAAUGUGCUGUGGUUGUAUUUACAGAUUUACGUUUGAGGGAAAUAUAAUUAUUUCCAUUGUA